ensembl:antisense Gm13257 predicted gene 13257
UUUUCCUAGCUGCUCAGACUGUUGGCUGGAGGGAAGACCUUGUUGGGUGCAGAGGCAGAAGGCUUCCAUUCUUGACAGCAGAGACAACUUAGCACUUGUGAGAAGCCCUAGCAGGCUCCUUCCUCUCCCCCAUAUCUCCCUCCUGCAGCCCCCCCCCCCCACAUCCCAACAGCUUUAAGAGCUGUCAGCUGCGGAUCCCCACCAGAAGACAGAUUGGCUGCAUAGGCAGGUGAAGGCGCAUGGUCCCUUGGGAGUCUGGAACCAGAAAGGAUACUGCUGAGUAGUCAAACCCACAUCCAUUGGACAGAUGGGGCCACUGAGCCCAAUAGAAGGAAGAAACAAUGGACUUUACAGGAGGCCUCUGUCACCUCUCCACUCCACAGCUAACAGCUCCCUGUUCUGGGAUGACCAGCUCAGGAGGACUGUGCCGUGCAAUUGGCUCCCACAGACUCACUCCCCUCACAUGACUGGGGGACCGAGAUCAUAGAGGCCGAGGCUUAUUGCUACUUUUGAAUCUUAUCCCCUCCUCCUUUUCAGAUUUUAAAUAUAUGUGUCAUGGGCAGGAGGGAGAAUCGAAAUCGAAUCGCCCUGUUCAUCGCCGCAGUAUUUUUUUCUUGUCAUUCUCGUAAUAAUAAUAUAGCAAAUUCUGUAGCCUUCCAUUUUCC